UGGGGAAUUUUGGACAAUGGGGGAAACCCUGAUCCAGCCAUCCCGCGUGUGCGAUGAAGGCCUUCGGGUUGUAAAGCACUUUUUGCAGGAAAGAAACGUCAUGGGUUAAUACCCCGUGAAACUGACGGUACCUGCAGAAUAAGCACCGGCUAACUACGUGCCAGCAGCCGCGGUAAUACGUAGGGUGCAAGCGUUAAUCGGAAUUACUGGGCGUAAAGCGUGCGCAGGCGGUUCGGAAAGAAAGAUGUGAAAUCCCAGAGCUCAACUUUGGAACUGCAUUUUUAACUACCGGGCUAGAGUGUGUCAGAGGGAGGUGGAAUUCCGCGGGUAGCAGUGAAAUGCGUAGAUAUGCGGAGGAACACCGAUGGCGAAGGCAGCCUCCUGGGAUAACACUGACGCUCAUGCACGAAAGCGUGGGGAGCAAACAGG
rnacentral:rRNA from 1 species